CCCUGUCUACAUCCCUGUCUACAUCCCUGUCUACAUCACUGUCUACAUUUCUACACAAUCAGAGUAAGAGGAAGAAAAGAGCCUGUUGGGUCGUUGUCAUUCCCUGUUGUUUUUCUUCAUUAUUCCUCACAGUCUGCUUCUUGACGUGUUACGUAACGUCCCGCUAUCACUCGAUUGGCCCGCGGGGCGUCAGCGUGAAAUGAUGGGAAAACAAAACUGUGAGGAGACAGGUUGAGCCAAUUAAACGAUGCAACAGCCAAGGGAUAUGCCUUUCGGUAUUGUUCUUGCCCGGGAGGGAAAAUGUCACAGCAGUGGCGCUGGUGCUGGCGCUGCUUUGGAGCGGAUCUGACACUCCGAUUAACCAAUGGGAAGCCAAAGAGACACCAAUCCAAUUCAAUCCAAACCCAUCUCCCUACAAGCACACAGUCCAGUGGUUACGGUACCAGAUGAUGAGAAUAAUGUCUUCCUCUCAUUUGCAUUUGGUAAUGAGUGCAUGGUGAUUAAAAAGUGAAAUGAAGGCUAACUGCUCUGUUGCCAGAUAGAUAAACAUGAAUGGUGUAGAGAGUCGAUGGAACAGGGAGACAAGAGGAAAGUGGUUUCUCCUAGACACAGCUCAUCACUUCUUUCUAUUCUUAAACUGUGUAUAUGAAUGGGGGAACAGACUGGGAGAUGUGUGUGUGUGUGUGUGUGUGUGUGUGUGUGUGUGUGU